AACGCACAUUGCGCCCUCUGGUAUUCCGGAGGGCAUGCCUGUUCGAGCGUCAUUAUCACCCCUCAAGCCCGGCUUGCUGUUGGCAGUCCGGCGUGGCCUCUGGGCCGCGCCCUGCCCAAAGAUAAUGACGGCGUCUGUGAGGACUCCUGUACACUGAGCUUUCGGGCACGUACUAGGCUAGAAGUCCGGGCGCCGGUCGACGUCCUCUCGGGGACACUUUUAUACCAAGGUUGACCUCGGAUCAGGUAGGGAUACCCGCUGAACUUAA
rnacentral:misc_RNA from 1 species